rnacentral:misc_RNA from 1 species
AGCUAUCAAACAUCUAGUUUUUUUAAUUAGAUGGUUGGAUUUGGACUCUGCUGUGUAACAAACGGCUGGCCCGAAAUUUAUUAGCUGAUCCUAGUGAGACUUGGUUCUACUCGGCGUGAUAAUUAUCUAACGUUGAGGACAUCGCAAGAUGGCCAGAUCAAACUUUGCGGAUUGCUUCUAAUCGUCUUCACAGACAAUUUAUUAUCAAU